CGAAAUGAGUAAAUGUUGAAUGAUACGAUUAAAAACAUACUAUAUAUUUUCUAUAUGAGUUGUGAAAAACCAAAGCAAACCUUUAAAAGUUAUAACUCACUAAGAUCAAUGAACAACCGAUAAUAAUUAGACUUGGCAAAACGGGCGGGUUGGGUCCUUGGUUUAAAAAAGCGCGAGGCACUCCGAAGCGUUUUGGUUCCAAAAGCUUUAAGCGAAGCUUCAAGCGCGAAGCGAGAGCUUCACGUAUACGAAGCGCUCAAAAUAAAAAAAAAUAUCUGUACACAUCAAUAUGACAUAUGCUACUUGUUAAUCAAUAAUAAACACAAAAACAUGAUUAAAAACACAUUUAACACAUAAAAAA